rnacentral:rRNA from 1 species
UACAGAGGUCCCAAGCGUUGUUCGGAUUCAUUGGGCGUAAAGGGUGCGUAGGCGGCGCGGUAAGUCGGGUGUGAAAUCUCGGGGCUUAACUCCGAAACUGCAUUCGAUACUGCCGUGCUUGAGGACUGGAGAGGAGACUGGAAUUUACGGUGUAGCGGUGAAAUGCGUAGAGAUGUGGAGGAAUACCGAUGGCGAAGGCAGCCCCCUGGGAUAACACUGACGCUCAUGCACGAAAGCGUGGGGAGCAAACAGG